UUACAGUCGGAUGCUCUUCAACGUGUUGGAUCAGAAUUAGCAAUGCAUGUAGUGGCUGCAAAGCCGUUGUAUUUAACAAAAGAACUUGUUGCUUCUGACGCAUUAGAGAAUGAACGUGAAAUUCUCAAGUCUCAGGCUGAAACAACUGGCAAAUCUCAAAUGGCCAUAGAAAAGAUGGUUGAAGGUCGUUUACGGAAGUACAUGGAAGAAG
rnacentral:misc_RNA from 1 species